rnacentral:tRNA from 1 species
UGUCGGGGUUGGUGUCGCGGCCGGCACCGCCGGUGUUGCCGCCGCCGUGGUUCCACACGAACACCGGCAGGUUCUUCCCCGCGUCCGACGGCC